UUCAAAUACAACUAUAUACAACUUGAAAGUCUAUUGCAUAAAGCACGUAAAUACAAUGCCUUUAGCAAACAUUAUAUAAUUUGGAGCACUGAUAUCUAUAUAUCUAUAAUGUAAAUCUCAGAGGGGGUUAUGAUACCCCCUGCGAAAGUAUGAAGGGGAUUUUGUAACACCCUGUCAUUUUUCAGUGGCGGGGAUUUCGAUCAAGGGGAUUUUGAUAUACACUCAGACCCAACUGCUUUAAUAGGUGUUAGUCUCGACAACCCAAAGAGGUGUUAGCCUUGAUGAUCUUCCUGAAGAUCCAAAAGAAGUGUGAGUCUGGAUGAACCAAUGACAUGUUAGCCUUGAUGACCCAAAGAGGUGGUUGUAUCAACAACUUAAGGGGGUGUUAAUCUUGGUGAACCAAAGAGGUGGUUGCAUCAAUAACCUAAGUAGGUGUUAAUCUUGAGGAGGUGGUAGUAUCAACAACCCUCAAAGGUGGUAAUCUCAAUGACUCUAGGAGGUGGUUUUCUCAAGGACCCUAGUGGGUUGUAGUCUACAUGGCCCUAGAAGCUGGAAGUUUCUAUCACCUCCUUUAUCACCAAAGGAGGCAGUAGUAUUAACUACACUUGGAGCUGGUAAUCUCCAUGACUUUAGGAAAUUGUAGUUUUCACAAGUUUAGGAUGUGAUAAAUCACUAAGUGCUAACAAUCAAAUGAGGCAAUGAUCUCAACAACCCUAUAUGGUAGUCUAUAGUCUCCAUAGCCCAAGGUGGUGGUAUUCACUGUGGCCCUAGGUGGUAUUGUCAUGACUGACCCAAGGAUAUGACAGUCAUGAUGAUCCUAGGAGACGGUAUUUUUGACAACUGUAUGAGGUGGUAGUCUUAAUGACAUAUUAGACAGAUGUAAGAAAAAUAUUCAAGACCAUGUUCUGUGCAUUUCUGAAAAGAUACUUGUUGACAGGUCUGGUAUAAACUUCAUCCCUCCAUUCUCCCAUACUGUGUAUACAGCACAAAAGGACCAAAUCUUUUACUGUUCUUAACACUUGCAAAAAUGUUGACAAACAAAAAAUGAUGAUCUAGAUUAAAUCCUGGCAGAUGUGUAAGUGCCCACAUUUUCCUCCUAUAUCUCAGUAAAGUUAGACAAAGAAAAUAUAGAUUUCCGAAACCUCCUACCUGAAGGCAUAACAAUAUUGACAGGUCAUGUAUUCUUCCUGAAAAAUAUCUUUUAUGAAUAGGACAUCUGUUCAGUUCAGAUAUAGUAAAUCUCUACUGUCAGGUAUUGUAUCUACCCAACAACAUGGGAGUUAAAGUAUCAUGAUUCCUAUUGCAGAAUCAACAUACAACAUUUAAGUCUGUCCCAUAUAGUAUGCACCAGGACUGUUUUCAAAUAAUAAUUUCUCAAAAACAGACAGAAAUAAUUUAAUAUUUUUUUUUUCAAGUAUUUCUUGAAGUAAUGAAGUCAAGUUUGAAUUUACAUAUUUUACACACAAAAUAUACCUCUACACGUGACACAUGUUGAACAGAUGUACUGUAAUUAAGCAACAUUAGCAAAACCUGGUGAGUACACUGACGAAUACUGCAGUGUAAAAGAACCUUGUGACAUUCUGUCAUAACUUGUUUGAUAUAACAGUUUUAAACUGUAUUUUGGAGUUAGCAGUGCAGUGGUUAGACAACAGAGCUAGGGACCUACAUUAGAUUCCCAGUUCUAACUGAUAUUCUAGCUAAAUUGCUAGGUGAUAACUUAAAUUGGAAAAAAAAUUGUUUCAAGUAGUACUGGCAAUGACUGGUCUCUGACCCAGCUGUACAUAUUCCAGAGUAACUGUGGAUAAACUGCCGACAAAUGCAAAACUAUAGUAUGGAAAAGUCACCAGUUAUAUAACAUGUCCAGAGUGACUGCAAAUAUUUUCCACGGACAUCUCUGGAAAUCACUCUGGACAUCCUACAAAAUGUUCAUGGAAUGUUCAAGGACACUGCGGAAAUGCAGCACUUACCAAUAAAAAUUUCUGGUUUUUUUAACUCUGGAAAAAACCUCGUUUUCUGUGGGAAUUUAAACACAUCAGAAAACAAUUAUUAGUAUCAGACUGGGAAUACCAUGUGAUCAUGCAAGUUCACCCAAUUAGAUCAACUGAUCUUACAAGGAGGAAUUUUCAAAAUGUGUAACUGGAAGUCAGAUGUUUAACAAGUUGUGUAGAAAUUUGUGAAACUUUAUCAUGAGAGAUAAACAGAAGAGGUGCAUAAGUAGAGCCCCUCAGACUUUUGUCCCAGAUGUUUUGGGUUUGACUGAUGUUAUGACAAUCCCAUCAAGUCAAGAUAUAAGAACUUGACAAUAAGUAUGAAGAAGCCACAACCUUUGCAGUCAGAUACCAUAAGUUCUUUGUUUACGGUGGAGUGAAACCCUGAUUAUGCAAGCAUUGAGGUCUCAAGCACCUAUCCUAACUCAAUUUGUGUGGUCCUGGAUAACUUGAGUAUUUUGCUGUUCCCUUUGUAAUCCAAGGUGAUUCAGUACUUAAUUGUAGAUAUAUGGACACUGUCAAUAUACAAGUAUUCAGUUUUGUACUGCCUAAGAAUAUCUUGGAUUUUGUUUUUCAAUUAUUUUUGUCAAAUUCACCAAAUUGUCUUCAAAUUUAUAAAAAAAUAUAUCUUGAAGUAGGAAAAAUAGUGUAAAGAAAAUAGUGUAAAAUCAGUGUUGAUAAAUUUUCUGCUGUAACUUUGCCUAGUGUAAUUCAGAACUAACAAAAUAUAACCAAGGUUUCAUCUGGAUGCUUGUUACUAAGUUCAGAGUAUAUACAAAGUUUCUUUCCUUUCAUAAAUCUCUAAAAGCAUUCAGGCUGCUUGUUACCUUAACAUUUUCACCACCUAAUUUGACAUCAGACAGCAGACACAGCUUUAAACUGGUAAAUAAUCAAAUUCUUGACUUCUAUUAAAAUGUACAAUUUUCUAAAUAAUACUGCUGAAACAAGGGCUGGCAUGUAAAGAACUAUAAAUUCCAUGUCUUGGAUUUUUUCCGUGACAAUAUGAUAAUGUUAAUGAACUUGUGUCUAA
rnacentral:lncRNA from 1 species